rnacentral:lncRNA from 1 species
AAGGUUCUCUAGAUAAUCUAUCUCCUUUAGGCCUCCUUCAUUUCUUGAGUCCUGCACAAAAAUUCUAGAAAAUAUUGUUAGUAUAAAAAGAGAAAUAAAAAAAAGAAUAAAUACCCAAAUUAAAAUUAAAAAUUAAAGAUAGGAGAAAUAAAAAUAAAAAUAAAAAUAAAGUCAAAGUUAAUCAAGAAUCACCCAAAUAGAAUAGCUUAAACCGUGAGUCCCCGACAAUGAUGCCAAAAACUUGUUGGGAUGGAUCGGCAAGUGUACCGAGUCGCACAG